rnacentral:rRNA from 1 species
UACGAAGGGGGCUAGCGUUGCUCGGAAUCACUGGGCGUAAAGCGCACGUAGGCGGGUCGUUACGUCAGGGGUGAAAUCCUGGAGCUCAACUCCAGAACUGCCCUUGAUACUGGCGAUCUCGAGUUCGGGAGAGGUGAGUGGAACUGCGAGUGUAGAGGUGAAAUUCGUAGAUAUUCGCAAGAACACCAGUGGCGAAGGCGGCUCACUGGCCCGAUACUGACGCUGAGGUGCGAAAGCGUGGGGAGCAAACAGG